AGGGCGCAAGCGUUAUCCGGAAUUAUUGGGCGUAAAGAGCUCGUAGGCGGUUUGUCACGUCUGCUGUGAAAUCCCGAGGCUCAACCUCGGGCCUGCAGUGGGUACGGAUAGACUAGAGUGUGGUAGAGGAGACUGGAAUUCCUGGUGUAGCGGUGAAAUGCUCAGAUAUCAGGAGGAACACCAACGGCGAAGGCAGGUCUCUGGGCCACCACUGACGCUGAGGAGCGAAAGCGUGGGGAGCAA
rnacentral:rRNA from 1 species